CGACGUUUUCAGCCCAUUUUCGGCAGCAAUUGUAAACCAAUCACGGUGCAUUUGCACGCUUGAUGUCCGAUUAACCGCUUAGUAACUCAUAAAUUCCAGUUUACAGAGCCCUACUAUUUACUAAUAUGACUAAUACGCAAGCAACUAUACGAAAACAGAAAAUAUGUUCGAUCAGAGUCGAUUUAGUACCCGGUGCUUUUAUAUGGCGGAACGGAAAAAUGCUGAACCAGCGAAGUUCCAUAAGAAAGUAGAGAAACUGACACGUGGCGCCCUCAUCAGACGCCGUCACCACACGAUACUUAACCAAGAUCAUCAAAAAUAAAUCAAAGUUUCAAGAAAGUGCUUCAAUAUGGUAUUCUUGACAAUUGACACAACAUAUUACUUCCAUAUGUCAAUCGCAUGCCUGAUCUUAUACCUCAGAAUCAAUUUUCAGAUUAUAUUAAAAAUCGUCUCAAGUCGAGAGAACUCCACGAUGUUUAAUUUUCUCAUCUGCUAUAUCAAUGAUUUUUUCUAUAUAAUUUUUCCAUUGGCACCCAUGACGACACAGAUUGAGAUCUUGUUCAUUACGAGUGCUCGUAGAAUUUCAUCAGCGAGUACAUAAUGGUUGGACCAUCGAAGUGGAAACAUUCCAUGUGUCCGCAGAGGCUACAAAAUGAGAUCGCUGCUGGCCUCAGCGAAAGCGAGGAUGCGAUACUAACGUAGAGUGCAAACCCAAGCACUUUGACUUGGGCACAUGUUGUGCCAACUCAGCGAAAAUGCAAGCUCAUAUCAUCAAAAGGAGGAGAGGCAAGGAAGUGAGAUUAAGCCCUUGUUCGACAGCUGGCAGCGUAUAUCAUACGUAAUACACGAUAGAUAGUAUAAAGAGCAAUGUGUUAAGGAAGUACGCUCAGAAAAAAUGCUUUAACGUUAAUUAUUCGUCACACUUGCGAACAAGUGAAUGAAAUAUUCGGGCAACCACGAAUAACCGAAUCUUUCCCCAUUCAUAAUUUUCAAAGCAGUCUUGUAAACUUAUAUUACAAAAUUAAAAUUUUCUAGAACGUUAUUAAUUAUAUAUUAAGUAGGUUUACUUGUCAAUGUUUCCCAAACUGGUGGAAGCUAGCCAGAAGAAGUUAUCAGAAGAUGUUCUGGAAUGAGUUAAAAAUUCAUCAAGCUUUUAGAACGAACGUUUCGACUAAGCGGUCGAAUUCAACCCUUUAGCUUAAUCUCAGUGUGCAACAGAGUUUUUCGAGUUACAGAUACAACGAUGAAGGGUAGCGGAGAGGAAGACAGGCGAAGAGAGAAGGGAGGGGGGGGGAGGGGAAAGCAGAGCAAGGGUGGGGCGUCGAAGCUGCCGGUGGGAUGGGGAGCUAUGAGGGCGAAGUUAUCCAAUUAUUGUCUAACCUGGGAGCAACUUUACUUGGCGGAGAACCGUUGGUGGGAGGGAAGCUCGUCCUGCCAGCUCUCUCUCCCUUCCUACAAUCGAGCCACGAUAAAGUAAAGUUUGUUUCAAAACUUACCGCGCGGAGAGGUGACUAGGUUUUUGUUAGUGACACGUGAAAUUCAAACGACUUCAUUGUGAUAAUAAUCAUGGCAAAUUUUUUUUAUAUCGACUGAUAAGAAAAGAAAGGGGAAUUCAGAUUCGAGAAGGAUCUCAUAAAUUAAGCCAGAGGUUCAUUAAUAAUACGACCACUACGAAACUUCUUCAGCAUGAAACGUUCAAAAGUACGGUCACGUUUUAUGAAUAUGUAAUUAGGUAAAAGUCGAAAUAACUAUUAAUUAAUUAAGCAUUGCAUUAUCCUUAAGUUUGAAUUUAACUAAUUCCAAUUACGUUAUACGUUUACUUUGU